AUUGAACGCUGGCGGCAGGCUUAACACAUGCAAGUCGAGCGGAGCGAGGGUGCUUGCACCUUAGCUUAGCGGCGGACGGGUGAGUAAUGCUUAGGAAUCUGCCUAUUAGUGGGGGACAACAUUCCGAAAGGGAUGCUAAUACCGCAUACGCCCUACGGGGGAAAGCAGGGGAUCUUCGGACCUUGCGCUAAUAGAUGAGCCUAAGUCGGAUUAGCUAGUUGGUGGGGUAAAGGCCUACCAAGGCGACGAUCUGUAGCGGGUCUGAGAGGAUGAACCGCCACACUGGGACUGGGACACGGCCCAGACUCCUACGGGAGGCAGCAGUGGGGAAUAUUGGACAAUGGGCGGAAGCCUGAUCCAGCCAUGCCGCGUUUGUGAAGAAGGCCUUUUGGUUGUAAAGCACUUUAAGCGAGGAGGAGGCUACUAGUAUUAAUACUACUGGAUAGUGGACGUUACUCGCAGAAUAAGCACCGGCUAACUCUGUGCCAGCCGCCGCAGUAA
rnacentral:rRNA from 1 species